AGAGCGACCGGUGCUUGCACUGGUCAAUCUAGUGGCGAACGGGUGAGUAACACGUGGGUAACCUGCCCAUCAGAGGGGGAUAACAUCCGGAAACGGAUGCUAAAACCGCAUAGGUCUUCGAGCCGCAUGGCUUGAAGAGGAAAAGAGGCGCAAGCUUCUGCUGAUGGAUGGACCCGCGGUGCAUUAGCUAGUUGGUGAGGUAACGGCUCACCAAGGCCGUGAUGCAUAGCCGACCUGAGAGGGUGAUCGGCCACAUUGGGACUGAGACACGGCCCAAACUCCUACGGGAGGCAGCAGUAGGGAAUCUUCCGCAAUGGACGCAAGUCUGACGGAGCAACGCCGCGUGAGUGAAGAAGGUUUUCGGAUCGUAAAACUCUGUUGUUAGAGAAGAACAAGUGCUAGAGUAACUGUUAGCGCCUUGACGGUAUCUAACCAGAAAGCCACGGCUAACUACGUGCCAGCAGCCGCGGUAAUACGUAGGUGGCAAGCGUUGUCCGGAUUUAUUGGGCGUAAAGCGAGCGCAGGCGGUUUCUUAAGUCUGAUGUGAAAGCCCCCGGCUCAACCGGGGAGGGUCAUUGGAAACUGGGGAACUUGAGUGCAGAAGAGGAGAGUGGAAUUCCAUGUGUAGCGGUGAAAUGCGUAGAUAUAUGGAGGAACACCAGUGGCGAAGGCGACUCUCUGGUCUGUAACUGACGCUGAGGCUCGAAAGCGUGGGUAGCAAACAGGAUUAGAUACCCUGGUAGUCCACGCCGUAAACGAUGAGUGCUAAGUGUUGGAGGGUUUCCGCCCUUCAGUGCUGCAGUUAACGCAUUAAGCACUCCGCCUGGGGAGUACGA
rnacentral:rRNA from 1 species